rnacentral:rRNA from 1 species
GCCAUCAUUCAGUUGGGCACUCUAAAGAGACUGCCGGUGUCAAACCGGAGGAAGGUGGGAUGACGUCAAGUCCUCAUGGCCUUUAUGACCAGGGCUACACACGUACUACAAUGGCCGGUACAAGGGGCAGCCACUUAGCGAUAAGGAGCCAAUCCCGUAAAGCCGGUCUCAGUCCGGAUUGGAGUCUGCACCUCGACUCCAUGAAGUUGGAAUCGCUAGUAAUCGCAGAUCAGCACGCUGCGGUCGAAUACGUUCCCGGGCCUU